AUUGAACGCUGGCGGCAUGCCUUACACAUGCAAGUCGAACGGUAACGGGCUUUCGGGUGCCGACGAGUGGCGAACGGGUGAGUAAUACAUCGGAACGUGCCCGAUCGUGGGGGAUAACGAGGCGAAAGCUUUGCUAAUACCGCAUACGAUCUACGGAUGAAAGCAGGGGACCGCAAGGCCUUGCGCGGACGGAGCGGCCGAUGGCAGAUUAGGUAGCUGGUGGGAUAAAAGCUUACCAAGCCGACGAUCUGUAGCUGGUCUGAGAGGAUGAUCAGCCACACUGGGACUGAGACACGGCCCAGACUCCUACGGGAGGCAGCAGUGGGGAAUUUUGGACAAUGGGCGCAAGCCUGAUCCAGCCAUGCCGCGUGCAGGAUGAAGGCCUUCGGGUUGUAAACUGCUUUUGUACGGAACGAAAAGCCUUCUUUUAAUACAGGAGGGUCAUGACGGUACCGUAAGAAUAAGCACCGGCUAACUACGUG
rnacentral:rRNA from 1 species